rnacentral:rRNA from 1 species
CAUGAAGCCGGAAUUGCUAGUAAUGGCAGGUCAGCAUACUGCCGUGAAUACGUUCCCGGGCCUUGUACACACCGCCCGUCACACCAUGAGAGUUGGGGAUACCCGAAGCCUGUGAGCUAACAUUAUGAGGCAGCAGUCGAAGGUAGAAUCAAUGAUUGGGGUGAAGUCGUAACAAGGUACC